rnacentral:rRNA from 1 species
GUCUACAACUAUAUCACUUAUAAACAGAUAAUUUUGUCUGAUCUUGGAAACUAAGUAAGCUCAGGCCUGGGUAGCAUAUGUAUGGAAGGUUGACUGGGAAUAUUAGAUGUUGCAGGCU